AUUGAACGCUGGCGGCAGGCCUAAUACAUGCAAGUCGAGCGGAGCGGCGGACGGGUGAGUAAUGCCUAGGUAUCUGCCUGGCAGUGGGGGAUAACGUACGGAAACGGGCGCUAAUACCGCAUACUAUCAGAUGAGCCGAGGGCGGAUGAGCUCGUUGGUGGGGUAAAGGCCUACAAACGCGCCGACCCGUAACUGGUCUGAGAGGAGGAUCAGUAACAGUGGAACUGAGACACGGUCCAGACUCCAACGGGAGGAAGAGGUGGGGAAUAUUGGCCAAGGGGCGAAAGCCUGACCCAGCAAUGCCGCGUGUGUGAAGAAGGUCUUCGGAUUGGAAAGCACGUUAAGUUGGGAGGCGUUACCAACAGAAUAAGCACCGGCUAACUUCGUGCCAGCAGCCGCGGUAAUUC
rnacentral:rRNA from 1 species